GAGAGGCUGGGUAGACUGUUUUGUCCCCUACAGGCUGAUCACCAGUUCCUCUUAGGAACCGGUGAACCUCAGGGGGCCAUUGCACAUCCAGGCGUGAAACUGCGGUGUGGCCUCCAGCAACACAAGCCAUCAGCCCCAUGCUCAGCUCCCAGCAGGCAGAGUGUUCAGAAGCCCAGCGCCAUCAGCUUGGGAGCCUGCAGUCCGCACACCGCUGACCUUACCUACUUCCUCUUUCCAAGUUGAUAGAUUUUUUGUUCUUGGCUUCUCCAC
rnacentral:lncRNA from 1 species